CGGGGGAGCAAGCGUUGUUCGGAUUUACUGGGCGUAAAGGGCGCGUAGGCGGCCACCGCAAGUCGACUGUGAAAUCUCCGGGCUUAACUCGGAAAGGUCAGCCGAUACUGCGGGGCUAGAGUGCAGAAGGGGCAACUGGAAUUCUCGGUGUAGCGGUGAAAUGCGUAGAUAUCGAGAGGAACACCUGCGGCGAAGGCGGGUUGCUGGGCUGACACUGACGCUGAUGUGCGAAAGCUAGGGGAGCGAACGGGAUUAGAUACCCCGGUAGUCCUAGCCUUAAACGAUGAAUGCUUGGUGUCUGGGGUUCUAUAGUCCCCGGGUGCCGUCGCUAACGCUUUAAGCAUUCCGCCUGGGGAGUACGGUCGCAAGACUG
rnacentral:rRNA from 1 species